rnacentral:rRNA from 1 species
CCUACGGGCGGCAGCAGUGGGGAAUAUUGGUCAAUGGGCGAAAGCCUGAUCCAGCCAUGCCGCGUGUGUGAAGAAGGCCUUCGGGUUGUAAAGCACUUUCAGUGGGGAAGAAAGCCUUGGGGCUAAUACCCUCGAGGAAGGACAUCACCCACAGAAGAAGCACCGGCUAACUCCGUGCCAGCAGCCGCGGUAAUACGGAGGGUGCGAGCGUUAAUCGGAAUUACUGGGCGUAAAGCGCGCGUAGGCGGUCUGAUAAGCCGGUUGUGAAAGCCCCGGGCUCAACCUGGGAACGGCAUCCGGAACUGUCAGGCUAGAGUGCAGGAGAGGAAGGUAGAAUUCCCGGUGUAGCGGUGAAAUGCGUAGAGAUCGGGAGGAAUACCAGUGGCGAAGGCGGCCGUCUGGACUGACACUGACGCUGAGGUGCGAAAGCGUGGGUAGCAAACAGGAUUAGAUACCCGAGUAGUC